GCAACAUCCUCGCGUCGCUGCUACAUCUUCCUGUCAACAGCGACACCCUCUCGUCGGUGAGGGCGUCCUCGGGAGUCCAGCCACAUCUCUCGCAGUCAGCAACACCUGUUUGAGAUGUCUCGGCAACAUCCUGGGCCACAUCUUCUCCCGGCAGGUUCAUGGUCUGUUGCAAUCAAAACCAAAGAAGAACAAGUGAUUGCCUCAAAUUUUACAUGGACUAUGUCAUCUCUGUUGCAAUCAAUGCCUUUAAGAUUGAACAUCUAACAGUGUGUCACUUCAGGAAAGCAAGUCUGGGAGCAGCUACGCUGCGAAUCACGUGGAAAACAAAGCUGGAUGUUAUUUUUUUGGUCAAGUCUGUUGACAUUUUGUCGCAUUGGCACGUAUUAUGCUACUGUAAUAGAUGGUCUUUCUGUUAACAAACGCUGUGAAACAUGUGGAAUCCAAUUUUUUUUGGAUGUUACUCAUACAGAGAAGUUAUCUGUUUACUUUCCAAUAAAAUCAGAUGGGUGUGUACCUCCUAUUAGUGCAA